rnacentral:rRNA from 1 species
UACGUAGGGUGCGAGCGUUGUCCGGAAUUAUUGGGCGUAAAGGGCUCGUAGGCGGUUUGUCACGUCGGGAGUGAAAACUCAGGGCUUAACCCUGAGCCUGCUUCCGAUACGGGCAGACUAGAGGUAUGCAGGGGAGAACGGAAUUCCUGGUGUAGCGGUGAAAUGCGCAGAUAUCAGGAAGAACACCCGUGGCGAAGGCGGCUCUCUGGGACGGUACUGACGCUGAGACGCGAAAGCGUGGGGAGCGAACAGG